rnacentral:rRNA from 1 species
GGGGAAUAUUGCACAAUGGGGGAAACCCUGAUGCAGCGACGCCGCGUGAGUGAAGAAGUAUUUCGGUAUGUAAAGCUCUAUCAGCAGGGAAGAAAAUGACGGUACCUGAGUAAGAAGCCCCGGCUAACUACGUGCCAGCAGCCGCGGUAAUACGUAGGGGGCAAGCGUUAUCCGGAUUUACUGGGUGUAAAGGGAGCGCAGACGGCUCUGCAAGUCUGAAGUGAAAGCCCGCGGCUUAACCGCGGGACUGCUUUGGAAACUGCAGGGCUUGAGUAUCGGAGGGGCAGGCGGAAUUCCUAGUGUAGCGGUGAAAUGCGUAGAUAUUAGGAAGAACACCGGUGGCGAAGGCGGCCUGCUGGACGAAAACUGACGUUGAGGCUCGAAGGCGUGGGGAGCAAACAGGAUUAGAUACCCUGGUAGUCCACGCGGUAAACGAUGAAUACUAGGUGUUGGUGCCCGAAGGGCAUCGGUGCCGUCGCAAACGCAAUAAGUAUUCCGCCUGGGGAGUACGGUCGCAAGAUUA